CGAGGAAAACAGACACAACACCUCCAUCAGAACAGCCUCAGAGUAAAACAACAAACUCUCCACCUGCAUCAUCCUCAACAACACUGGAAGUGGGAAGAAGAGAAACUUCCACACAAUCGAGAAAAACAGACACAACACCUCCAUCAGAACAGCCUCAGAGUAAAACAACAAACUCUCCACCUGCGUCAUCCUCAACAACACUGAAAGUUUUCGGCAUCAUGGCGGUUUUACUGUUGGUGAUAGCUGGUGUAGUGGCAUUUAUUUGUUGGAGACGCAGAGG